rnacentral:rRNA from 1 species
GGUGAACGCUGGCGGUAGGCCUAACACAUGCAAGUCGAACGGCAGCACAGUAAGAGCUUGCUCUUACGGGUGGCGAGUGGCGGACGGGUGAGGCAUACAUCGGAAUCUACUUUUUCGUGGGGGAUAACGUAGGGAAACUUACGCUACUACCGCAUACGACCUACGGGUGAAAGCAGGGGAUCUUCGGACCUUGCGCGAUUGAAUGAGCCGAUGUCGGAUUAGCUAGUGGGCGGGGUAAAGGCCCACCAAGGCGACGAUCCGUAGCUGGUCUGAGAGGAUGAUCAGCCACACUGGAACUGAGACACGGUCCAGACUCCUACGGGAGGCAGCAGUGGGGAAUAUUGGACAAUGGGCGCAAGCCUGAUCCAGCCAUACCGCGUGGGUGAAGAAGGCCUUCGGGUUGUAAAGCCCUUUUGUUGGGAAAGAAAAGCGGCAGGUUAAUACCCCGCUGUUCUGACGGUACCCAAAGAAUAAGCACCGGCUAACUUCGUG